rnacentral:rRNA from 1 species
GACGAACGCUGGCGGCGUGCUUAACACAUGCAAGUCGAGCGGUAAGGCCCUUUCGGGGGUACACGAGCGGCGAACGGGUGAGUAACACGUGGGUGACCUGCCCUCAGCUCUGGGAUAAGCCUGGGAAACCGGGUCUAAUACUGGAUAUGACUCCAUGACGCAUGUUGUGGGGUGGAAAGCCUUGUGCGGCUGAGGAUGGGCCCGCGGCCUAUCAGCUUGUUGGUGGGGUGANGGCCUACCAAGGCGACGACGGGUAGCCGGCCUGAGAGGGCGACCGGCCACACUGGGACUGAGACACGGCCAGACUCCUACGGGAGGCAGCAGUGGGGAAUCUUGCGCAAUGGGCGAAAGCCUGACGCAGCGACGCCGCGUGAGGGAUGACGGCC